CCCAGAGUGUGCAAAGAAUGCCUCUCUCUCUUUGACGCUUCUGGCUGUUGAGGACAGUUGUCAUCAGUGGCAGCUGCACUUACUUUUUAUAAG